UACGUAGGGUGCAAGCGUUGUCCGGAAUUAUUGGGCGUAAAGAGCUCGUAGGCGGCUUGUCGCGUCGGCUGUGAAAACCUGGGGCUCAACCCCGGGCCUGCAGCCGAUACGGGCAAGCUAGAAUUCGGUAGGGGAGACUGGAAUUCCUGGUGUAGCGGUGAAAUGCGCAGAUAUCAGGAGGAACACCAGUGGCGAAGGCGACUUCCUGGCCUGUUCUUGACGCUGAGGCGCGAAAGCUAGGGGAGCAAACGGG
rnacentral:rRNA from 1 species